AUUGAACGCUGGCGGCAUGCUUUACACAUGCAAGUCGAGCGGCAGCGCGGGGGCAACCCCGGCGGCGAGCGGCGAACGGGUGAGUAAUACAUCGGAACGUGUCCCGUAGUGGGGGAUAACCCGGCGAAAGCCGGACUAAUACCGCAUAUUCUCUACGGGGGAAAGUGGGGGACCCGCAAGGGCCUCAUGCUAUGGGAGCGGCCGAUGUCCGAUUAGCUUGUUGGUGAGGUAACGGCUUACCAAGGCGACGAUCGGUAGCUGGUCUGAGAGGAUGAUCAGCCACACUGGGACGGAGACACGGCCCAGACUCCUACGGGAGGCAGCAGUGGGGAAUUUUGGACAAUGGGGGCAACCCUGAUCCAGCCAUGCCGCGUGCGGGAAGAAGGCCUUCGGGUUGUAAACCGCUUUUGUCCGGAAAGAAAAGGCAGUCCCUAAUACGGAGUGCUCUUGACGGUACCGGAAGAAUAAGCACCGGCGAACUACGUGCCAGCCGCCGCCGUAACAC
rnacentral:rRNA from 1 species